UUCUAAGUUUAGCUAAUGUUGCCCGUACCGUAAACCGACACAGGUGGGUGGGAUGAGUAUUCUAAGGCGCGUGGAAGAACUCUCUUUAAGGAACUCUGCAAAAUAGCACCGUAUCUUCGGUAUAAGGUGUGGUUCGCUUUGUAUUAGAAUUUACUUCGAAAGCAAAGAAACUUACAACAAAGAGUCCCUCCCGACUGUUUACCAAAAACACAGCACUCUGCUAACUCGCAAGAGGAUGUAUAGGGUGUGACGCCUGCCCGGUGCUCGAAGGUUAAUUGAUGGGGUUAGCAUUAGCGAAGCUCUUGAUCGAAGCCCGAGUAAACGGCGGCCGUAACUAUAACGGUCCUAAGGUAGCGAAAUUCCUUGUCGGUUAAAUACCGACCUGCAUGAAUGGCGUAACGAGAUGGGAGCUGUCUCAAAGAGGGAUCCAGUGAAAUUGUAGUGGAGGUGAAAAUUCCUCCUACCCGCGGCAAGACGGAAAGACCCCGUGGACCUUUACUACAGCUUGACACUGCUAUUUGGAUAAGAAUGUGCAGGAUAGGUGGGAGGCUUUGAGUAAUAGACGCCAGUUUAUUAUGAGCCGUUGUUGAGAUACCACUCUUUCUUAUUUGGGUAGCUAACCAGCUUGAGUUAUCCUCAAGUGGGACAAUGUCUGGUGGGUAGUUUGACUGGGGCGGUCGCCUCCCAAAUAAUAACGGAGGCUUACAAAGGUUGGCUCAGAACGGUUGGAAAUCGUUCGUAGAGUAUAAAGGUAUAAGCCAGCUUAACUGCAAGACAUACAAGUCAAGCAGAGACGAAAGUCGGUCUUAGUGAUCCGGUGGUUCUGUGUGGAAGGGCCAUCGCUCAAAGGAUAAAAGGUACCCCGGGGAUAACAGGCUGAUCUCCCCCAAGAGCUCACAUCGACGGGGAGGUUUGGCACCUCGAUGUCGGCUCAUCGCAUCCUGGGGCUGGAGCAGGUCCCAAGGGUAUGGCUGUUCGCCAUUUAAAGCGGUACGCGAGCUGGGUUCAGAACGUCGUGAGACAGUUCGGUCCCUAUCUGCCGUGGGCGUAAGAAGAUUGAAGAGAUUUGACCCUAGUACGAGAGGACCGGGUUGAACAAACCACUGGUGUAGCUGUUGUUCUGCCAAGAGCAUCGCAGCGUAGCUAAGUUUGGAACGGAUAAACGCUGAAAGCAUCUAAGCGUGAAGCCAACUCUAAGAUGAAUCUUCUCUAAGCUCUCUAGAAGACUACUAGUUUGAUAGGCUGGGUGUGUAAUGGAUGAAAGUCCUUUAGCUGACCAGUACUAAUAGAGCGUUUGGCUUAUCUUUUUUAUAAGCAU
rnacentral:rRNA from 1 species